AUUCUUCACUGGCAUAUAUCUUGAUUUCCCUCCUAAGCGAAGGUACUCCUGCAAUGCCUAGAAGUGAAGUAAAUGAUAUAAAUGUGAAUAUUGCCGCGACCCUUGUCACAACGGAAGACAAAGAAUGCCCCAGGCCAGAAAAUACUGUUCCAAUACAGAGUGUGAGAAGCAUACAAAGAAUAAGACGAAGCCAGUAGUAUUUCCACUCCCUCGAAAUAAUUAACAGUGAUCUCCAUGUCAAAACUGCAAUCCUUGUGGCACUGCUAGCUUUUCCCUUGCUUUUAAG
rnacentral:misc_RNA from 1 species